rnacentral:piRNA from 1 species
UAGACACAGAGGUAAGGUGAGUUUGGC